GUCGCUUCUCGGCCUUUUGGCUAAAAUCAAGUGUAGUAUCUGUUCUUAUUAGUUUCAUACUGGAGGCAAGCUACGCGGGUUUUGGGCUGGUGGGCAUGGGUGCUGCAUGGAGGGGGCAGGUGUACCGGGGUGUUCCGGGGCUGGUUCUGACGUGCCCUGAUGUGACCUGCUUCCUCCGGGUCUC